AUGUAGCUCAGUUGGCAGAGUACUUGCUUUGCAUUCAUGAAGCCCUGGGUUCAAUUCCCAGCAU
rfam:Cricetulus griseus cell line CHO-K1, whole genome shotgun sequence.